GCAGGGGUACCCGAGUGGUUAAAGGGGCAGGACUUAAGAUCCUGUGACGCAGGUCUUCGUGGGUUCGAAUCCCUCCCCCUGCA
rnacentral:tRNA from 1 species